CGCACCUUGCGCCCUGCGGUAUUCCGCAGGGCAUGCCUGUUUGAGUGUCAUGUAACUCUUCACCCCCGGGUUUUGUUAUCUGGGCGGGGAGAUGUGGGCGUGUGCGGCGUUGCCGCUCGCCUUAAAGGAGUUAGUGGGGGCCGUGUCUCCGAUGGCGUAAUAAGUUUCGCCUGAGGCCGACAGUGGAGCCUGCUUUACCAAGAGGGCCUUGCGUGUGCGCGUGCGUUUGCGUGUGUGCGUGCUCGGCUGACUUUUUGAUCUGACCUCAAAUCAGGUAGGACUACCCGCUGAACUUAA
rnacentral:misc_RNA from 1 species